AAGACAGUCGCGUUGAAACGGCGCCCGAUGUCAGACGCGUGAACAGUGUGGUCGGAUAAUCUGACAUGCCGCAAGCUCGCGAUAUUAAACAUAUCACGCAUAAGAGUGACAACAAAUAUGAAGAAACUGCCAACAUCAGAGUUAAUCCAAAAAUCUUUGGUUAAUACGCGAUUAUAAUCGAUCAUUCUGAGAAUUGUGCGUAUUUCCGAAAUAAAAGCAGCUGAGAGAAGAGGACUCACGGACAGUAAUCCAAGAAGCCGCCAUGGAUUCGCAUAGAAAUGAUGACAUCGACCGGAUCAAGAACUCGAUGAACGAAAAAUUGAAAUCAGAAUCCGAUCGCUGUAAUCAUGGAAAUAAAUUGGGAACAGAUUGGUGCCCCGAAAUUUGGGACACGAUACUAUGUUGGAACUCGACAGCACCAGGACAGUUGGCGAUUCAGCACUGUCCCUCUUACAUCAUGGGUUUCGAACCUCAUGCAUAUGCAUCGAAGCAAUGCAUGCCAAAUGGCCAAUGGUAUGUAAAUGCUGCUAAUAUGAUAUGGAGUAAUUAUAGCCAGUGUUAUCAAGAUCAGUUUGUUGUCCUGAACAUAUCGGAUGUACAGGCGAAUAAUAUUACUCUCAAGUUGCAGAAUUUCUUUCCGAUAGUGAAGACCAUUUCGAAGCUCGGCUACACAAUUUCAUUAUUCACUCUCAUCAUCGCGUUUUGUAUUUUGGCGACUAUUAAUUUGUCUCCCAUCGGACGUAGGAAAUUGCGAUGCUCGCGGAACAUAUUGCACAUGCAUCUGUUCGUCUCAUUCGUGAUGCGAGCAUUUAUGGCGCUACUCAAGGACCUGCUCUUCGUAUCCGGUAUCGGACUGGCGGAUGCUGUGAUCAAACAUGACGAAGGCUAUUGGAUUAAUGAUACAGAAAACAACUGGCACUGCAAAAUGUUUACCAGCUUGUGGCAAUAUUUUAUUCUGGCCAAUUAUUCCUGGAUCCUGAUGGAGGGUGUAUAUCUACACAAUCUGAUUUUUUUCGCACUCUUCUCCGACGCCAACUCCAGCAUCGCGGUCUACGUUGCUUUUGGAUGGGGUCUGCCAGCUGCAUUUAUCUUACCCUGGGUAGUUACGAGAAUCAUAUAUGAGGACACAUAUUGCUGGACGACCAAUGUGAAGCCACUCUUGUUUCUCUUUAUACGAGUACCUACGAUACUCUCUAUUUUGAUAAAUUUUGUGCUCUUCAUCAACAUCGUGAGAGUACUGCUGGUAAAACUCAAGUCCACCAUGUCGGAGGAAACGCAAAGAUACAAACGGUGGGCUAGAAGUACGUUAGUCUUGGUACCACUCUUUGGAGUUCAUUACGCAUUUUUUAUCGGAAUGUCAUAUAGUAUCGGCGUAAACGAGACUGUAGAAAUCGUAUGGCUCUUCUGUGACCAGCUGUUUGCAUCUUUUCAGGGCUUCUUCGUGGCGGUAUUGUAUUGCUUUCUGAACGGCGAAGUAAGGACUGAAGUGUCCAGGACGCUUCGGAGCAUCAAGUGGACGCGUAUUCAUGGAAAACGAUGGGGUUCACGACCAUCAACACACUCAGUCAGCACAUGCAGCUGUAACAAUAUCUCAAAGUCUGGCAGUCGACACUCAAGGAAACCCAAGUGGUGGAAGUCACGCUGGAAGGCAAAUCCUUGCAUGUUCCAAGAUCAGACCAUCCGUCAGUCCACCCACUCGAUGACGUUAGAACGAGAGGAUGUAGUUUAGCGAGCAAUAAAGACUUGGAGAUUGUCGAUAACAAUCAAAUACUGCAAUCGACGAUGCAAGAUCAACAUAUUCAUCACACAUCGCCUCUGUGCAGCAAGUAUACGGAUCAAUCGUUACUCUCCUUCUGCUCGAACUCUGAAGUGUCGGGAAAUAUCGAUAAAAUCCGUGAUCAACAUCGAUGGAGUGACUCGGAAUGCUGCCAUCUCGCAUACGAAUUGCAUAAACUAUAGCAGCAUUAUACCAGUGAUAAUGCUUGGAUUCAAACAUAUAACAAAAUACAUGUCCUGUAAAUGUAUAAUACGCAUUUAAAUGCGUAUAUUAUCCCUGAAAGAAAAUAAAACUGAAGGGAUUUAAAUCUGACAUAAAUUUUCCCACGAAACAGAGAGAGAAAAAAAGAAGAAAUAGAAGUAAAAUUUUAUUCUUUUAUGUAUGUUUUUUAUGUCUUAGAGUAGUUUUUUAUAUAUUAUAAAUGGAAAUUCAGUCUUAUUAAUUCUUCUUUUACAGGAACACAUCGUGUUGUUUAUAUAAUCGUUCAUGUCGUAAUUUAAAUAGUGUAAGCAUAAAUGUACAUGUAUAAUAUGUAUAAAAAAUCAAUAUUCGAUAUUUCAUUAUUUUAAGCAUUUGUUGAAAUGUAUUGGAAUAUUCGAUAAAGUAUCUCGUAUCGAUA
rnacentral:misc_RNA from 1 species